UCCGUAGGUGAACCUGCGGAAGGAUCAUUACCGAGUGCAGGUCUGCCCCCGGGCAGGCCUAACCUCCCACCCGUGAAUACCUGACCAACGUUGCUUCGGCGGUGCGCCCCCCCCGGGGGUAGCCGCCGGAGACCACACCGAACCUCCUGUCUUUAGUGUUGUCUGAGCUUGAUAGCAAACCUAUUAAAACUUUCAACAAUGGAUCUCUUGGUUCCGGCAUCGAUGAAGAACGCAGCGAACUGCGAUAAGUAAUGUGAAUUGCAGAAUUCAGUGAAUCAUCGAGUCUUUGAACGCACAUUGCGCCCCCUGGCAUUCCGGGGGGCAUGCCUGUCCGAGCGUCAUUGCUGCCCUUCAAGCCCGGCUUGUGUGUUGGGUCGUCGUCCCCCCCGGGGGACGGGCCCGAAAGGCAGCGGCGGCACCGCGUCCGGUCCUCGAGCGUAUGGGGCUUUGUCACCCGCUCGAUUAGGGCCGGCCGGGCGCCAGCCGGCGUCUCCAACCUUCUAUUUUACCAGGUUGACCUCGGAUCAGGUAGGGAUACCCGCUGAACUUAAGCAUAUCAAUAAGCGGAGGAAAAGA
rnacentral:sRNA from 1 species